rnacentral:rRNA from 1 species
ACCUCAAAUCAGGUAGGGCUACCCGCUGAACUUAAGCAUAUCAAUAAGCGGAGGAAAAGAAACUAACAAGGAUUCCCCUAGUAGCGGCGAGCGAACCGGGAUGAGCUCAAAUUUGUAAUCUGGCGUCCUCCGGGUGUCCGAGUUGUAAUCUAUAGAAGCGUCUUUCUGUGCCGGAUCGUGUCCAAGUCCCUUGGAACAGGGUACCAAAGAGGGUGACAAUCCCGUGCUUGACACGACGACCGGUGCUCUGUGAUGCGCUCUCUACGAGUCGAGUUGUUUGGGAAUGCAGCUCAAANGUCAGUCGUGUUGUGGAGGACUCAACCGGUCCUGCCGGUCUACUUCCUCCCAAUGGGUCAACAUCAGUUUUGGCCGGCGGAUAAGGGCAAUGGGAAGGUAUCACCCUUGGGUGUGUUAUAGCCCAUUGUCGUAUACGUUGGUGAAGGCUGAGGAAUGCAGCUCGCCUUUCAUGGCCGGGGUUCGCCCACGUCCGAGCUUAGGAUGUUGACGUAAUGGCUUUAAACGACCCGUCUUGAAACACGGACCAAGGAGUCUAACAUAUCUGCGAGUGUUUGGGUGUCAAACCCGAGCGCAUAAUGAAAGUAAACGUAGGAGGGAUCCGCAAGGAGCACCUUCGACCGAUCUGGAUCUUCUGUGAUGGAUUUGAGUAAGAGCAUAUAUGCUGGGACCCGAAAGAUGGUGAACUAUGCCUGAAUAGGGCGAAGCCAGGGGAAACUCUGGUGGAGGCUCGUAGCGAUUCUGACGUGCAAAUCGAUCGUC